rnacentral:rRNA from 1 species
AGAGUUUGAUCCUGGCUCAGAUUGAACGCUGGCGGCGUGCUUAACACAUGCAAGUCGAGCGAGAAAGUUCUCUUCGGAGAAUGAGUAGAGCGGCGCACGAGUGAGUAACGCGUGGAUAAUCUACCCUGAAGAUCGGGAUAACAGUUGGAAACGACUGCUAAUACCGGAUAUCCUGCAUAUUUAGCUUUAUGUGGUAAAGGCGGCCUCUAUUUAUAAGCUGCCGCUUUGGGAUGAGUCCGCGUCUCAUUAGCUUGUUGGUGGGGUAAUGGCCUACCAAGGCAACGAUGAGUAGCUGGUCUGAGAGGAUGAUCAGCCACACUGGGACUGAAACACGGCCCAGACUCCUACGGGAGGCAGCAGUGGGGAAUAUUGCGCAAUGGGGGAAACCCUGACGCAGCGACGCCGCGUGCGGGAAGAAGGCCUUCGGGUCGUAAACCGCUGUCAGGAGGGAAGAAACUGUUAGGGUAUAAUACGCCCUUUCACUGACGGUACCUCCAAAGGAAGCACCGGCUAACUCCGUGCCAGCAGCCGCGGUAAUACGGAGGGUGCGAGCGUUAAUCGGAAUCACUGGGCGUAAAGCGCACGUAGGCGGCGCAUCAAGUCAGGCGUGAAAGCCCUCGGCUCAACCGAGGAAUUGCGCUUGAAACUGGUGUGCUGGAGUCUCGGAGAGGUUGGCGGAAUUCCAGGUGUAGGAGUGAAAUCCGUAGAUAUCUGGAGGAACACCGGUGGCGAAAGCG